CCGCACGGUGCCUCCCGGGCAGCUCUGAAUCCACAUGACGUGAACGCCCCGAUGCACGUGCGAAAUCAUCGCCGUUCGUGUUGCAGUUCAUCCCAAUUUUCCACGGUUGAUCUGUGUCAAAGUAACGGCAAAAUUC
rnacentral:snoRNA from 1 species